rnacentral:lncRNA from 1 species
GCUUCAUUUGGACGCCUGCGUGGGGGACUCCAAGUUGGAAGGCCAGUGAGGGUGUUUCAGGGUUGAUGGGGAUCUCAGAUGUCACCAGGGCUUUGACUGCCGGAUAAUUAGGCCCCAAGCGACGGCUGGCUUCUUCUCCAGCCCCUUAGCCCCGUGGCAGCUUCGUCAUUUUCAUUCCUCGGUAGAAGAGACGGCGGCUGGCCGUGAUCUUCCCGCUGGACGGGCCCUCAUCAGAGCAGGACGAGGCCGCCCUUGUGAAGGAACCCCACGCAGAAUGAAGCCAUGA